rnacentral:rRNA from 1 species
UACGAGGGGGGCGAGCGUUGUUCGGAAUUAUUGGGCGUAAAGGGUGCGCAGGCGGUUGUGUGUGUCAGGUGUGAAAGCCCGGGGCUUAACCCCGGAAUUGCGCCUGAAACUACAUGACUAGAGCAUUGGAGAGGGUAGCGGAAUUCACGGUGUAGCAGUGAAAUGCGUAGAUAUCGUGAGGAACACCAGAGGCGAAGGCGGCUACCUGGACAAUUGCUGACGCUCAGGCACGAAAGCGUGGGGAGCAAAAGGG